rnacentral:tRNA from 1 species
GAAGGUAUAGCUUAGUGGCGGAGUGAAUGCUUAGCAUGUACGAGGUCCUGGAUUCCAUCCCCAGUACCUCCA